UUUAUUGGAGAGUUUGAUCCUGGCUCAGGAUGAACGCUGGCGGCGUGCCUAAUACAUGCAAGUCGAGCGAAUGGAUUGAGAGCUUGCUCUCAAGAAGUUAGCGGCGGACGGGUGAGUAACACGUGGGUAACCUGCCCAUAAGACUGGGAUAACUCCGGGAAACCGGGGCUAAUACCGGAUAACAUUUUGAACUGCAUGGUUCGAAAUUGAAAGGCGGCUUCGGCUGUCACUUAUGGAUGGACCCGCGUCGCAUUAGCUAGUUGGUGAGGUAACGGCUCACCAAGGCAACGAUGCGUAGCCGACCUGAGAGGGUGAUCGGCCACACUGGGACUGAGACACGGCCCAGACUCCUACGGGAGGCAGCAGUAGGGAAUCUUCCGCAAUGGACGAAAGUCUGACGGAGCAACGCCGCGUGAGUGAUGAAGGCUUUCGGGUCGUAAAACUCUGUUGUUAGGGAAGAACAAGUGCUAGUUGAAUAAGCUGGCACCUUGACGGUACCUAACCAGAAAGCCACGGCUAACUACGUGCCAGCAGCCGCGGUAAUACGU
rnacentral:rRNA from 1 species